rnacentral:rRNA from 1 species
CCUACGGGAGGCCGCAGUAGGGAAUCUUCGGCAAUGGGGGGAACCCUGACCGAGCAACGCCGCGUGAACGAAGCAGUAUUUCGGUAUGUAAAGUUCUUUUAUUGGAGAAGAAAGAGCACUUUGACGGUCACCAAUGAAUAAGCUCCGGCUAACUACGUGCCAGCAGCCGCGGUAAUACGUAGGGAGCGAGCGUUAUCCGGAAUUAUUGGGCGGAAAGGGUGCGUAGAUGGUUGGUAUAAGUCUUUUGUAAAAAUGCUAGGCUCAAGCUAGUAGGGCAAAAGAUACUGAUGAACGAGAGUACGGCAGAGGCAAGGGGAACGACAUGUGUAGCGGUAAAAGGCGUAAAUAUAUGUAAGAACACCGGUGGCGAAGGCGGCUUGCUGGGCCUGUACUGACAUUGAGGCACGAAAGCGUGGGGAGCAAACAGGAUUAGAUACCCUGGUAGUC